AGAGAAUAAAUCUGUUAUACAGUUAAAAUAUAGUGAACAGGAAUAGUACAAGUGUAAAUCUAUUAUACAGUUAGAAUGUACAAAUUUACUUGUAUAUAUACAGCCUUGAAUGAUGAAUACAAUCAACGGAAAAUUAUCACAUUUCACAAUUUUUUUUUCUUUCAUGGUGUCAGAGCAACAGUAGCUCGAUCCAUUUACAAUCAUCUAUCAAUCAUUUUCUCUGUUCUUUCCCUUUUACUUCACCUUCAGCCAUGACAGGAAUUGAAUCUUCUCCCACCCUUUCCUUAGCUUGUUCGACCAGUAGUGGAGUCACAUCAGACAUAAACUAUUCUUAUUUUCUACACUCAUCUGAUGCACCAGGAAUGACUUUGGUGAACUCACCAUUUGAUGGAAGAGGAUAUCCAGGCUGGAGAAGGUCUUUGUUGAUUACUCUAUCAGCCAAGAACAAGAAUGGCUUCAUCAAUGGAGUUCGCGUUGAGCCAGAUCUGGGAUCUAAGCAAUAUCCUCAAUGAAGCAGAAGAAAUGACAUGGUCACUUCUUGGCUGCUGAAUUCCCUUUCCAAAAAUAUAGGAGAUAAUGUGAUUUACUAAAAAACUGCACGAAGCCUUUGGAAUAGCCUUGAACAUAGGUUUGGGCAAUCAAAUGGGGCUAAACUCUAUCAUCUGCAAAAGAAAAUUGCAAAAUCAGUCCAAGGAAACAACAGUAUAGCAGGAUAUUUCACAACACUCAAAAGGUUACGAGAUGAACUGGACUCGCUCAUCUCUCAACUCUCACCUAGGGUGUACCUGCAGCUGCACAUGUCAAUGGAAGACAAAGAUGGCAAAAUUCUUGGAAGACUAGAGAAUCAUUCAAUUUCUCAUGGGUCUCAAUGAUUCCUAUGCUUAGGCAACGGGACACAUUCUGAUGAUGAACCCACUUCCUAGCAUAGAUCAUGCUUAUUUAAUACUCUUACAAGAUGAAGGACAGAGGGAGAUAUACUAUGACGACCCGAAUUUCCACCAUUGAGAGUCGUGAUGAGCCUACUAUCGGAGCUAGGCAAGCCAAAUAUUUCAACAACUCUACUGAUUUCUUUUAAAUAAUUAUAAUAAACUGAAAUAAUAAUUAAAGCGGAAUAUUUUUAAAUGCUUAAACAUCUGAAAACGGAAAUACAAAAGUUUCAAAGUACACUUCUACCCAGUAUCUGGUGUCACUACUCAUGAACUGCUAAGGAAUACUAAAAUAAGAGUCUGAAAGAAAUACAUAGAAGAGUUUGUCUCGGUACAAAAGAAACAAACAAAUAAUAUAGAAGGGACUCCGGCCUGCGGACGCCAGCUAGACUACCUCGGAAAUCCCUAGACCGAAGUCGGCGCACGAGCAAAUACUGCUAAUGAGGUCCAACUGCUGCUCCUAGAUCUGUGCAAAAUGAUGCACAGAGUGUAGUAUCAGCACAACCAAACCCAUGUGUUGGUAAGUACCUUGCCUAACCCCAGUGAAGUAGUGACGAGGCUAGAUAGGACCUACCAUUAAUAAUCUAUGCAGAUACAUAUGCAAUAGCGAAAGAAAAAAAAGAGAAUAUACAAAAUUUAAACAGCUAAUAGGGAGAGGACAUGCUACGGGGUGCAAUAAUUCAGAUAUAGGUUCAACGAACAAAGAGAUAGAACUUUACAAUAAUACCAAUCAAGGAAAACAGGUAAAACAACAACUGCACGGCAACAACCUUCGUGAUUUUACUCUCAUUCUCAGUCAAAUAGAGUGCACGGACAUUACCGUUCAUGCUUUUCCUCACAUAACUCUCAUAUCAAGGAACGGAAUGACCCUUCGUACUCAAUUAUUUAAAACAUGGUACGGAAUGACCUUUCGUGCAUAAUUAUCAAAACAUGGCACGGAAUGACCCUUCGUGCAUAAUUAUCAAACAUUGCACAGAAUGAACCUUCAUGUUUUUCCUCACUUAACUCUCAUAUCAAGUCACGGAAUGACCCUUCGUGCAUAAUUAUCAAACAUGGCACGGAAUGACCCUUCGUGCAUAAUUAUCAAACAUGGCACUGAAUGACCCUUCAUGCUUUUGCUCACAUAACUCUCAUAUCAAGGCACGGAAUGACCCUUCGUGCAUAAUUAUCAAACAUGGCAUGGAAUGACCAUUCGUCCAUAAUUAUCAAACAUGGCACAGAAUGACCCUUCGUGCAUUCGCUCUUCCUCACCCAAACAACAGUCACAACCAAUGAGGGAGGGGAUAAACAACAAUAUUAAACAUCCCGGCAAGGGAGAACAAAUCAACAAAUAAGUUCCGACAAGGGAAUAAUACUACACUUUCUCCUUUAACUUAUUUCCUUCUCACCUACCACGUUAUAUGGAAUUAUCAAUUAAACAACACAACUGUAUCACAUCUUUCGAAUUAAAAGCAAUUACGACGCUUCGGUCAUGCUAGAAUCAGGUGCAUAGAUAACCAUCACCAUGCCUGUACAACGUACUUCACAUUUACCACAUAGCAAUUAAUAUCGUAAUCCUAUUCCCUCAAGCCAAAUUUAGAACAAACACUUACCUCGAAAGCUCCAAAUUCGACUCAAGCUUCUAGAACAACUUUACCCCUUGGUUCCACCACCAAAUCGCUCGAUUAUAGCCAUAAAUUACUUAAAUACAUCAGCAACUAGUAUUGGAACUAAACCCAAUGCAUGAAAAAUGGUUUUUACAAGGUUUUUUCCAAAAAGGUCAAAAAUGCCCUCCAGACCCACUUGGUCGAAACUCGAGGUUCGGACCAGAAAUCGGUUACCCAUUCCCCCACGAAUCCAAAUAUAUGAUUGGUGGUUUUGUUUGGUAAGGCUCCCACUUAUGAGCAUUUAAGAUCUUUUGGGUGUUUAUGUUAUGUAUCCACCUUGAGUCAUAACAGAGGAAAGUUUGCUCCCAGGGCAACCAGUUGUGUUUUCUUGGGAUAUGCUGCCCAUCAAAAGGCUAUAAGGUGUUGGACCUAUCAAACAAGAGAGUGUUUGUCUCUAGAGAUAUUAAAUUCCAUGAAACUCAUUUUCCUUUUCUUACUCCUCCUAUACCUCCUGUUCUGCCCUAUUUUCCUUCUAACCCUCUCAUACCUGAUACUUCUCCACAAGUCCCUGCAUCGCCUAUAAUCACCCCAGAGUUCUCUCCUUCAGGUUCCUCUUUUCACCUUGACAGUUACCCUUCCUCACAUCAUGCCAACCAGCUGACCACAGUUCAGCUCUUUCACCUCACUUAAAUAUUCAUACUCCUUCACACAAUUCUUCACCAAUAUGCACCUAUCCCUCUAUUUGCUCACCAAAAGUAGUUGUUUCAAUUCCUCCUCCACCUCCAGCAAUUAGAAAAUCUGACAGGGUCAGUAAAAAAACCAGCCCACUUACAGAACUAUGUCUGCUAUUCUAUCAUCCUUUCAGACCUAACUUCUACAUGUUUCACUCACCAUGCUCAGCCUACUAUUUUCUAUUUUGGAGCUUUAUACCUCACUAAUCAAAAAAUCUAUCAUUCCUUGUCCAAUAUCUUAGAACCUAAUAGUUUUGCUCAAGAUUCCAGUCAACCAAAGUGGACACAUGCCAUGGAAGCAGAGAUUGCUGCACUUGAAUUAAAACACACUUGGGAUGUAGUAGAUUUGCCAAAUGGGGAGAGGGCUCUACCUUGAAAAUGUGUUUACAAGGUAAAACAUAAUUCUGAUGGGAGAAUAGAAAGGUUAAAAACAAGGCUUGUGGUUAGGGGGGACAUACAAAGAGAAGGGAUAGAUUAUUCUGAGACUUCCUCCCCUGUGGUUAAAAUGACCACUAUUCGAUGUCUAUUGACAGUAGCUGUCAAGAAAGGAUGGAAAGUCCCACAACUUGAUGUCAAUAAUGCUUUUCUACAUGGAGAACUACAUGAGGAGGUAUAUAUGAGAUUUCCUCCGGGUGUUUCCCCUCCUAAACCUGGACAAGUUUGUCUUCUCAGAAAAUCACUUUAUGGUUUGAAACAAACAUCUCGUCAAUGGUAUGCUAGACUUGCAGGCGCUCUAAGUUACAAGGGAUAUUCUAGUUCAUUAAGUGACUACUCUUUAUUCUACAAAGAGACUGGUUCUCUUUCAUCUAUUAUUACUAUUUAUGUAGAUGAUAUACUGUUAACAGGAGAUGACAUCACAGAAAUCAAACAUCUAGGGGACAUUCAUUAUUCUGGGCAUGGAAAUUCUAAGGGAAAAACAAGGUUUCAUCAUUAGCUAAAGACAAUUUACCUUGCAUUUGUUGAAGGAAUUUGACUGUAUAGGGGCAGCUGUGUCUUCUCCUCUUGAUCCUUAUGCCAAACUUCAUGCUGGCCUUGGGACUCCCAUGGACAAUCCGACCAUCUUUCGCCAUCUUGUUGGUAAACUAAAUUACCUCAAAUACUAGGACGGAUCUCUCUUUUGUUGUCUUGUGCCUUAGUUAGUAUAUGCAGCAGUCUACUUCCCCACAUUUCUCACCAGCUCUAUGGGUUUUGAGAUAUCUAUGUUCAGAUCCUUCUCAGGGGAUUCUUCUAUCUGCAAAUCCCUCUUUUGAUUUGCUGGCUUUUUGCGAUGCCGACUGGGCAUCCUACAGAGAUUCUCAUAGAUUUGUAAGUGGGUUCUUUAUCACACUUGGUGGAGCUCCAAUUUCUUGGAAAUCAAGGAAGCAGGUAUUUGUGUCCCUUUCCUCCGUUGAAGCAGAAUACCGUUCCAUGCGCCAAGUCACGGCUGAGAUAACCUAGUUGUUUCGUCUCCAUACAGAUCUCUCUACACCGGCGACUCUCCCAGUACCCGUUCACCAUGACAGUCAAGCGGCUAUCCAUAUCGCCAAAAAUCCCGUCUUCCAUGAGCGGACCAAGCACGUGGAGUUAGAUUCACUUCGUCCACCAGCAAUUCCUUUCUGGGAUCAUCACUUUAUGUUUUGUUCCAUCGAUACGGCAACUCGCCGAUCCCUUUACCAAACCCUUUUCUGGGGCCUCUCACCAAGCUAUAAUGAACAAGUUGGGGGUUCUCUCUCUACCCUCCAACUUGUGGGGGCAUGUUGACAAAGAAAAUCUCCAUAUAACUGAGGACCAUCUUCUUUCUCUGAAGAAGAACGAUAUUCCAUCCCAUGAAGAAGAAAAGUUCAAUGGGAAUGAGAGACAAAGAGCAGAAGGUUUCCGAAGUUAACAAGGUUCACUAUCUAUGUUCGAAAUUUUGUUUAUUAUUAGUGUGACACACGUGGCUCAAUCUCAGCCUUAGAAGUGAAAAAAGGGCCUUUCCUAUCAACCGUUAGAUAUGGGCAAGGCAGCUGUAUAUUAGAUUUAUUCUAGAAGAAUCCAAGCAUGUGAUUGGCACGUGUGUACAUAAUAUAGAGAAUAAAUAUGUUAUACAGUUAGAAUAUAGUGAAUACGAAUAGUACAAGUGUAAGUAGGAUUUUAUUUUACAUUUUUCUUUUGUGGAAUUACUUGUAUAUAUACAGCCUUAAAUGAUGAAUACAAUCAGUGGAAAAUUAUCACAUUUCACAGUCUUUUUCUUUCACCAACUUCUUUACCUAGCUGAAACAAUAUUAAUCCGGUAGAGCUUGCCACGGGAAAAGGAACUUUAAAACAGAAAAUCUAGGUAUGUGCAAAUAAUAAAUUCAAUUUCGUUUCACAACCAUGACAGGAAAAAGGAAAAGUAAACUUAAUUCAGACGUAAACCAGCCGAAACUAUGCAAACAGCUCCGAAAUCGCAGGUAAAGUUAUCUAAAAAUUUAAUUCUAGCGAUUGUGAAGUAUAUACAAAAGAGAGAAACCAUCGACCAACUGUUUUACCCCAUUAUAAAGUUUAAUCGAAUAGGACCUGUGAUGAGAUAAUAAUUUAAAAAUAACAGAAGGUGAGAAAAUCAAAAAAGAGUGAAGAGCGUAAAAGUAAACUCACCGGAUAAAUCCACAGACUAUGCAACGAAAUCUAACAAUGCCAGAAGAGAGGAAUGGAGAUGAACAAAAGCUGGAGGAAUUUAGGGAAUUUUCACACAGAGGAACCGCCAGUGAAGAUGAG
rnacentral:lncRNA from 1 species